rnacentral:rRNA from 1 species
GUGGGGAAUAUUGGACAAUGGGGGGAACCCUGAUCCAGCCAUGCCGCGUGUGUGAAGAAGGCCUUUUGGUUGUAAAGCACUUUAAGCGAGGAGGAGGCUACCGAGAUUAAUACUCUUGGAUAGUGGACGUUACUCGCAGAAUAAGCACCGGCUAACUCUGUGCCAGCAGCCGCGGUAAUACAGAGGGUGCAAGCGUUAAUCGGAUUUACUGGGCGUAACGCGCGCGUAGGUGGCCAAUUAAGUCAAAUGUGAAAUCCCCGAGCUUAACUUGGGAAUUGCAUUCGAUACUGGUUGGCUAGAGUAUGGGAGAGGAUGGUAGAAUUCCAGGUGUAGCGGUGAAAUGCGUAGAGAUCUGGAGGAAUACCGAUGGCGAAGGCAGCCAUCUGGCCUAAUACUGACACUGAGGUGCGAAAGCAUGGGGAGCAAACAGGAUUAGAUACCCGUGUAGUCC